UGCAACACCACCAUGGUAGGGCAUGGAUCUGAAGCUUCUUAAAGCAAUCCAGUCCUAUUCAAUACGUUUCCGGCGUACAGAGUGGUAACAUGGCUCCUUCUAAAUACCUGAACUUGGGUAUACGGUAAUACCCAACUACUUGGGAGGAUAGAUGCCAUGAUUAAAUUGAGAAGA
rnacentral:ribozyme from 1 species